UACGUAGGGUGCAAGCGUUAAUCGGAAUUACUGGGCGUAAAGCGUGCGCAGGCGGUGAUGUAAGACAGUUGUGAAAUCCCCGGGCUCAACCUGGGAACUGCAUCUGUGACUGCAUCGCUGGAGUGGCGGCAGAGGGGGAUGGAAUCCGCGUGUAGCAGUGAAAUGCGUAGAUAUGCGGAGGAACACCGAUGGCGAAGGCAAUCCCCUGGGCCUG
rnacentral:rRNA from 1 species